UCAACUUGAGAGUUUGAUCCUGGCUCAGAACGAACGCUGGCGGCAGGCCUAACACAUGCAAGUCGAGCGCAGUGGUUACCUUCGGGUGAUCACCGAGCGGCGGACGGGUUAGUAACGCGUGGGAAUGUACCCUUCUCUACGGAAUAGCCUCGGGAAACUGAGAGUAAUACCGUAUACGCCCUUUUGGGGAAAGAUUUAUCGGAGAAGGAUCAGCCCGCGUAAGAUUAGAUAGUUGGUGGGGUAAUGGCCUACCAAGUCUACGAUCUUUAGCUGGUUUUAGAGGAUGAUCAGCAACACUGGGACUGAGACA
rnacentral:rRNA from 1 species